ACUCCCAAAUCAACCUCUUACACCAACUUCUGAUAGCUCCUUGUCAUUUAAUUUUCCAUACCCCAAAGGACAGGAGUUUGUCUUGAGACCCAUAUACCUCGAGCCCGACCACGAAGCCAGGCCAGGCAGGAGGGAGCCAGCUUUGUUCCCCUUCCUGCAUCUUCCACAGGCCAUCAUCUUGCCACGUUUGUCUCUUCAGGGCCUGACCUGAGUGAACAUGACAAUGGUAAUGUGUGUUUUCUGAGACUUGUGGCGGGGAGAUUGUGGGCGUAGGUAAAGCUCAGCUGCUCUCCUUGGUGCGGGGGCAAAGGCACUGCUCCCCACCCUCCAUCUGCCCCAGCCCGGGGAAUCCAGUCCUUGGGCAACCCGGGAGAGAAGCACCCGCUGCCCCCCAGCCCUUGCUGGCAUCUUGCUGCUCUGGCUCUACUUCUCAGGGUUGAGGCCCUGACUAUGGGAUGCUGGGGGCAAGGCUGGGGGAGAAGGAGACUUUUGGAAUUUGGUUUCAGUGGAGGGAGCGGCAGCUGAAGGGGCACUUGGUGGGGGGAGACAGAUGCUCAGAGCCGGGAAUAACGAUGUACCCCAGAAAGGUGCUACCUGCCCCCAUCCACGUGACCUUGGGAUCAGAGAGGAAACUGAGCUGGGACACAUGCAUCCCUAUGUUCAGAGCCUGGAGGCACCACUGCCUGGAGCUCCAGUGCUAGAGGCAACUCCCCUCCCCAAUUCUCGUGGCCACAUGGGGCCUUGGGUCCUGUUUCUGUCCACUCCCCUUCUGCAUCAUUUCUGGGGGCUUGUGGAGGAUGGCUGGGAUAAGUGGAGCCUGUUUAGAGGAUUUUGCUUGACCACCCCUGGGUCACCCCCAUGAAAGGGGAUGCGCUAUUGGGGCGCAGUGACUGUACCACCGGCUCUGUCAACACCCACUGGGAAAUGUCUGCAUGAGACCUUGGCACUGGGGGAGCAGACCCCACCCAGAAAAAACCCCCAGGGGGAGCAGGGAGGACUGACCUCUGUACCUCACUGUGUAUGGCUGAACUGUCGGAAGCAGGUCUUCCUCUUCAGCACCUGGGGUGGGAAGGAGGGGCUCAGGCCCAGCUCCCUGGCUGGCAGCCCCUCAGCUCAGCUUUAUUCAGGGGGUCAAGGGCCCAGCCUGCCUCCCAAGAAGGAGCCCCAGGCCCAGUCAGCUACUCACCAGGACAAGGGCGAGUGCGGUGAGCAGGAAGCCCAGAACGAGGAGAACCACAGCAUAGCUGGGGAGGGUGAUGCCAGGCUGACCUGAGGUUCAGAACAAAACAGGGAGUUGAUGGCUGGGGUGGCUCCCCACCCCUCUAGACCACAAACCCCUGAGAAGGCAAAGUCAGGCCUGCAGAACUGUCUUGGGCGAGGGAUCCUGGCCCACAAUCUACUGUAGGAGCAGAGCUCUGGAGCUGGGGCCACCUUGGGGGGCUUCCUGGAAGAGGCAGCAUUGUCAGAGGACAGAGAUGGAGGGAAGCAGGGAGAGGGGCACUGACCAAGGUCUGGGUUGAUCACCUCCAGCAAGAGGCCCUCAGCUUCCUGCAGGGCGGGCAGAGCCUGGAGCACGCAGUCCUGCACGAGGGCUCGGACCGGCGCGGCCCUGAAGAAGGUGGCACCCACCCAGGCAGUCAGGGUGUUGGGCCUGGCAGGAGGAUCACAAUGGAUGUCAGGGGGGCUAACCGGCCAGGGGGGCUCUCAGAAGGUCAUUUCUCUGAGCCUCUGGCCUCACCCCAGAGUCCAUCCCUGAGCUACCCCGGACUUACUGGAAUUUCACCACCACUUGGCCAAAGUUCUGCAGUGGUCUGAGGACAGCAGUCAGCUAGGGGUCAGGAGAGGACAAAGAGGGUCACAGCUCCACUGAAGCCUCAUCGGGUCCCCUCCACGACUCCUUCUGCUCCUCCCUUCCCUUCCUCCCCAACCCUCACUUCACCCAUCUCGUCAGGUUCCCCUGAAGGUUCCAGAACUUAGGGCUGGUUUUGUCCUUCCAGGCCUUGUUGAAGGGCUGGUCCACAAUCUGCAGCCACACCUCAUACAGCACCAGCUCUGCCUUCUCCCCUAGAGUGAUGGGGAGGGGCCAUCAGCCUAAGCCUCCCUCCUGGGACCCUUGGGAUAAGGCUGAGCCCCGACCCAGGGCUGCACGCCCCAAGCUUGAAUGCUCUUGGCCAGCAGUCAGCCAAAUCCAGUCUGAGGUUCAAUCCAGCCCCAGCGCCUGUUUAUGGACAGCCCAGGAGGCUCUACAUCCAGUUCCUCUCUGUAGCCCCAGCACACAAGAAUUUGUGGUUGAUAUGAAAUUCUGUCCAUUCUCCAGAGGAGGAACACUGAGACCCAGAGAGUGUAAGAGGCUGCAGGCCAAAGACACACAGGGAUCCCGGCCCUGACUCACCAUUGGCCGUGAUGCUGGAUUUCUGGACUGCAGGAUCCAUUAUGUUCUGGGCCAGGUGAUUGGCCAAGCCUUGGAGAAGGACAAAGGGGGCAGAGCCGGGCAGGAGGAGCAGGGGCUGGAAGGGCCUCAUGGCAGUGAAUUGGAUGGUGAUGGUCUCCAGGGCCAGGUCACUCAGGUUGGAUCCUGUGGAACCACAGGUGGGCGUUCAGGAGGGCUCGGGAGCCUCCUCACCCACCACACCCCGUCUCAUGGUGGGGCCGGAGCUGGGCCCCUCUAGGAGAACCCCCAGCCUUCCCCGGGGGUGGGGGAAGAGGCACUGAGGUGGGUGUGGGGGCAGGCGGGGCAGAGACUCACCGUCAGAGGCCAGGCUGCUCCCAUCCAGGGACAGGUUCCCCAACAUCUGCCCUGCGGCCUUGACCUUGCGGUAUAGAGUCCAUAGGACGUCACGGGCUGAGGGCCCCGGGGCCUGGCCCCCAAACACAAGGGAGGCAUUCACGGCCACAGUUCCAGGCCUAUGGACAGACACACAUCCUCACCGUGGCACGCCCUGGGGGCUGGAAGGGGACCUGGCUGCUACACAAGUUGGCCAGUGUCCCGAGGGGAGUCCACCGGGGAAGCCACCGACUGAUUCCCCGUGUGAUGUCACCCCUGAGCCUCAGCUGCCCCCUCGAUAAAAUGGGGAUAACGACUGUCUUGUUGUAGGGGUGGCAUGAGGACUAAUGGUGCAGCCAGCAGAACAGGAGCCAGGUGCUCGGGGAAAGCAAAGUCCCUCGGUCACCCCUGCAAACUGGCAUUAAUGUGAACACAGGGAAUGCCAGCCAGGAAGACCAUAGCUGUGAGCAAUCACGAAGUUGCCUGAGCCACACUGAGAAAAACCUCUUUGGUGGCAUCACAAGAAGCAGGGGGUCUGGCAAGAGGGAGGUGACAGGCCUAAGGAGUUUCUGAACGCCUGGGGGAGGGAGACCGAUGGGCCAUGUCCUGUGGCGGCAGCCUGGCCUGAGCACAGGGUUGAAGGAGUUUGCGGGGAGAAACCUGAAAACAAGCAGGCUUAGGAUCCAGAAUCACUUUCCUGUAUCCUUUCCCAGAGUACCUGUUCUGUGCUAUGCCAUCCUGGGGCUGGGGAGCCAAAGCUUCUGUUCAGACUCAGGGCAGGGAAUUCAGAGAGGGAGAUUUCAGUUCCUUAUAAGGGGAAACUUCCUGGGAGUUUCCUGGUAAAACGGUGGGUUAAGGAUCAGGCGUUCUCAUGGCUGUGGCUCAGGUCAUUGCUAUGAAAAAGGCUGGGUUGGGGCAGGGAGGCCUUUCUAACAAGCUGGGAUCAAGGCCUGGAAAGAUCGUGGUGGUGAACUUCCCAUCACUAGGCAUAAUCAAGCUUCUAAAUUUCUGCACUGGGAGGGAUCUGCCGAUAGGACUCAAAGUCUACACUGAGUUCAACUCAAGCGGGGCUGUGAUGAUUUGGGCCUUUUGACCUUUUAUCUGAGACUGCAGGGCUAGCAGUGCCAGCACAUCUGGCUUUAGGUCCCCACCCCCCAACAUCCCCAGAGGCUCAGAACCAGAAAGGGCCCCACCCCCAGCAGAUUUGCAUCAGUUUACAUGUCAUUUCUGGGCUCCUGGCCCAGGGAAGUGUCCCCUUCUUUCCCCAUCACACCCAGACAAUGCCUAGCAUCCCUGCUCAAAUUCUGCAGCUGGAAUUGGAGCUCAGAGCAGGCAAGAGGUCACCUGAGGUCACACAGCCAGGGGCAGAAGCAGAAGUGGGCCUCCUGCCUGCCCAUGCAGGGAUCUUCCUGACUCCCACAGAGUUUCUGGCCAUGGUGGGGCUGGGCAGGGCUGGGUGACUGGUCUUGUGGCCUGAGAAGGCACAGAACGGCUGGCAGGCAGGGGCUGGACCCUGAGAGAUGCACUCACUCACCUUAAGAGCAGGACGCUGACGCCCUCAAAACUGGAGAAGGCCUCGUGAUAGAUGGAUUGGAGCUGAGGACAGACAGACGUACUUGAGAGUCAGCAGGUGCCGCCCCUCACUUCUCAGUAUCAGCUCACUCUCGUCAUCAUCUCUCCUCUGGCCCCUGCUUUGGUUUUCUCAGUGACACCGUGGGCUUCCCAGGGCCACCCACACCUUCCCAGCAUGGCUGCCGGAAACUACCUGCCAGUCGCCCUCUACUGAAAACCGCAGGGCAGCUCCAACUGUCCAGGAAACAGCCUUCCUAGGCCUUUCCUUCUCUGCAGUUUUACUGCUAAUUGCUCUCCAGUCCAGUUGUCCUGCUGACUGCCAUCUCCCCUGGACGACAGCCCCUCCUCUUGUCUCUCUGCAGUCCCCCUCCUACCCUGCGCCUCAGCCUCUGCCCACCUUUUCCUCGCACGUGCUGUUCCCACUGUCUAGAAAGCCCUUCCCUGUUUCAUCGACUACCUUCUCUCCAUCCCCGUUAAAAUUCCCCUAUCUCAGAAAGGCGUGCUCUGGGGAGUUCCUGCUGUGGCUCAGCAGUAAUUAACCCAACUAGUA